rnacentral:rRNA from 1 species
GACGUAGGUGGCGAACGUUAUCCGGAAUUAUUGGGCGUAAAGGGUGCGUAGAUGGCCUGAUAAGUUAGCAGUGGGAAAUCGAGGCUCAACCUCGUGGAAGCUGGUAAUACUGUCAGGCUCGAGUGCAGGAGAGGUUAACGGAACUCCAUGUGGAGCGGUAAAAUGUGUAGAUAUAUGGAAGAACAUCAAUAACGGCGAAGGCAGUUAACUAUUCUGUUACUGACGUUGAGGCACGAAAGCGUGGGGAGCAAAACGG